rnacentral:rRNA from 1 species
UACGAAGGGGGCGAGCGUUGUUCGGAAUCACUGGGCGUAAAGGGCGCGUAGGCGGCCCUCUUAGUCGCGUGUGAAAGCCCCGGGCUCAACCUGGGAACGGCGCGCGAAACGGGAGGGCUGGAGUUCGGGAGAGGAGAGUGGAAUUCCCAGUGUAGAGGUGAAAUUCGUAGAUAUUGGGAAGAACACCGGUGGCGAAGGCGGCUCUCUGGACCGAGACUGACGCUGAGGCGCGAAAGCUAGGGGAGCAAACGGG